CUUCUACUUGUGACUCCUUUUCACCCUCCAGACUUUUACCUCCAAGUUCACCCCAAAUGAAUAAGUAUAUAAAACAGUUCCUGCCUUUAUAACUAGCUCUGCAUUCAACAAGAAGAGAACAAUACAAGCCACGUCUCCACAGUGGUCUACACGCACAGAGGAUGCCGGAUACUGUAUGGAGUUCAAGACAGAGUCCCUGACUCCUCACUGUGCUCUGGACAAUCGUCCCCUGACACGAUGGAUGCAGUACCUUAGAGAGGGUUACACGGUGUGUGUGGACUGCCAGCCCCCAGCUAUGAAUUCUGUGAGCCUGCGUUGCUCUGGAGACGGCCUGGAUUCUGAUGGGUAA